rnacentral:lncRNA from 1 species
GUUUUCUGAGGUUCUUAACCACUCUUUUUCUUCCCUUUAAUACUAUUUUUAAACAGGAGUUUUGUAGAUGGACUCCCAUGAUGUGUCCUUUUGAUAGUUUUUAUGUUAAUCAUGGGAUUUGUGUAAUGGGAUUUAAAUGAAUUUGGGGGAUAUUGUGCCAUUUGCUGUAUCAGAGUGUAGAUAUAUGCCUGUUGUUUCUCAGGGCAAAGCAUACCUUUACCUCAUUGUUCUGAGAGUUUCCAUGAAUUCUAUUUAGGCUACCAAGUUAAGAGACAUAAAGCUAUAACUGUUACUUUUGUUGCUCUGAAGGAUGACACUGCUCCACUAACUGGAUGACAGCUCCUGGGUCCCUUGCUGGAUAUACGGUUGUCAUCACUUGCAAGGCACUACCAAAGCUCUCCUGGAAAGCCGAGUUUAGUUCUGAAUGCCCGAAAUGUCUUCCAAUUAGCACAUCUUAAAUAAUUGUUUAAACAAAUAACUAAUAAGAAUGUGACUGCUGUAUUCCAUAACAUAAAUCUUUAACUAUAGCGUUAAUACUUAUUAUGCCAUUAGGGAUGGAUGACUUACACUUCAUUUGGGGUUUAUAAAAUACCUCGAGCUAUUUUUCUAGCAUUUUGAAAUAUAUUUUGUAACAUUUCUCAAACAUACUUUACCAAACACAUUUCCUCUAAUUUUUAAACCCUUGCGUAUUUUAAGGGAAAUUUAAUCCAUAUGUUUCAGAUUCGUUUGCACUUAACUCAUCAAAGUUGUUUUUUAAGAACAGUUUGGUUUCCAAGAAGUUUUAGGAACCCUUCUCAUGAAUUCUGUCAGCCUUUAAAAGCAUUUUCCCCAAUCAAAACAUUUUUUCCCUCAAGAUAAAUUGGAUAAAAUAUUUUAGUUCGGUUUAUAACACAGUGACCAUGUUUUAAAGUCUAGGCCCUGAAUUCAGGAAAAUAAAUUAUUUUGUUUUUUGCUGUGAGAACUUGCUUCAUUUGUUACUCUUCAAAGCUAGUAUCAGCAAAAGACUUAUAACCUCCAUGUUCUCUUGAAAACACAGCAUGUUGACACUGUCUUCCCAAAUCCAUAGCAGAAGUGAAUCCGUCUAACAGCAAACUGAACCAACUAGUCAUUGGGGGUCUGUCAUGUAUGCUGGAUUUAUGUAUAUAUUCACACACAUUCACAUGUGACAUUAGAAUAUACUCCUUUAAAUUUGUGCAGGCUAACUUUUUGCUUUUUGUAUAGGCUAUGAGUAUCUUUUACCUGAAAUGCUUAGGACUAAGAUUUGGGAGUUUUUUGGGGGGUUUUGGAAUAUUUGCAUAGACUUUACCAGUUGAGAGUGCCCCCACUUUGAAAAUUCCAAAUGCUUUAAAAUCUGAGACUUUGAGCAUUUGAUUGGUGCUCAAAAGGUUUUGGAUUUUGGUUUUAUGAGGGAUGUUUAACCUGUUCUUGAAAUUUUAACAAGGCACCUCUGUAUUCUGGAUUGAAUAAACAUGUAUUAUGAC